AUGAGGUGUGGAUAGGGGAGAAAUUCCAAUCGAACCCGGAGAUAGCUGGUUCUCCUCGAAAUAGCUUUAGGGCUAGCCUCGAUUUAGUCUUAUGGAGGUAGAGCACUGAAUUUCCGCGGGGGCGUCAAAGCUUACCAAAGAAUAUCAAACUCCGAAUGCCAUGUAGAUGAUGAUCGGGAGUCAGACUGCACGAGAUAAGUUGGGCAGUCAAAAGGGAAAGAGCCCAGACCACCGGCUAAGGUCCCAAAGUGCGUGUUAAGUGGAAAAGGAUGUGGGAAUUCGAAGACAACUAGGAUGUUGGCUCAGAAGCAGCCAUACAUUCAAAGAGUGCGUAACAGCUCACUAGUCGAGAGUUCCUGCGCCGAAAAUGUCCGGGGCUGAAACACGACACCGAAGCCGUGGACUCGCAAUGCGAGUGGUAGAGGAGCAUUCUUAAAACCGACGAAGCUGUACCGAAAGGAGCAGUGGAGGGAUAAGAAGAGAGAAUGCCGGAAUGAGUAGCGAGAGAAAGGUGGGAAUCCUUUCGGCCGAAUAUCUAAGGUUUCCAGAGUAAAGCUGAUCUGCUCUGGGUAAGUCGGGGCCUAAGCACAGGUCGCAAGACGUAAGCGAUGGAUAACAGGUUUAGAUUCCUGUACCACGCAUUAUCAGAACUGUAGGGACGCAUGUGGAAAGCACGGGCCGGGAAUGGAAAGACCGGUACAAGCGGGGUAGGUGUACAAUAGGCAAAUCCGUUGUAUAAUCCGAAGACGUGAUGUGGAGCGAAAUAAAGUAGUGAAGCGUGUGAGCCAUGUGCCGAGAAAAGCUGCUAUUGUGUAAUGCGUGCCCGUACCGUAAACCGACACAGGUGGAUGAGGAGAGAAUCCUAAGGCCGGCGGAAGAAGCAUUGUUAAGGAAUUCGGCAAAAUGACCCCGUAACUUCGGGAGAAGGGGUGCCUGCGAGAGCAGGCCGCAGAGAAUAGGCUCAAGCAACUGUUUAGCAAAAACACAGGUCUAUGCGAAACCGAAAGGUGAGGUAUAUGGGCUGACGCCUGCCCGGUGCUGGAAGGUUAAGAGGAGAGGUUAGCGCAAGCGAAGCUUUGAAUUUAAGCCCCAGUAAACGGCGGCCGUAACUAUAACGGUCCUAAGGUAGCGAAAUUCCUUGUCGGGUAAGUUCCGACCCGCACGAAAGGCGUAAUGAUUUGAGCGCUGUCUCGACAAUGCAUCCGGUGAAAUUGAAGUACCAGUGAAGAUGCUGGUUACC
rnacentral:rRNA from 1 species